AUGACUCUUCAGGAAUUGGUGCAUAAGGCUGCCUCCUGUUAUAUGGACAGAGUAGCUGUAUGUUUUGAUGAAUGCAACAACCAGCUUCCAGUUUACUACACCUACAAGACUGUGGUUAAUGCUGCUUCUGAAUUAUCAAAUUUUCUGCUGUUACACUGUGACUUUCAAGGAAUUCGGGAAAUUGGUCUCUACUGCCAACCUGGGAUAGACUUACCCUCUUGGAUUUUAGGAAUUCUCCAAGUCCCAGCUGCUUAUGUACCUAUCGAGCCAGAUUCACCACCGUCAUUAUCAACUCAUUUUAUGAAAAAAUGUAAUCUAAAGUAUAUCCUUGUUGAAAAAAAACAAAUUAAUGUAAGUCUGGAUGUUUCAAUUGUUUUUUGCCUGUAUUACAUUUAUUUCAAUUG
rnacentral:sRNA from 1 species